UGUCUGGUGGGUAGUUUGACUGGGGCGGUCUCCUCCUAAAGAGUAACGGAGGAGCACGAAGGUUGGCUAAUCCUGGUCGGACAUCAGGAGGUUAGUGCAAUGGCAUAAGCCAGCUUGACUGCGAGCGUGACGGCGCGAGCAGGUGCGAAAGCAGGUCAUAGUGAUCCGGUGGUUCUGAAUGGAAGGGCCAUCGCUCAACGGAUAAAAGGUACUCCGGGGAUAACAGGCUGAUACCGCCCAAGAGUUCAUAUCGACGGCGGUGUUUGGCACCUCGAUGUCGGCUCAUCACAUCCUGGGGCUGAAGUAGGUCCCAAGGGUAUGGCUGUUCGCCAUUUAAAGUGGUACGCGAGCUGGGUUUAGAACGUCGUGAGACAGUUCGGUCCCUAUCUGCCGUGGGCGCUGGAGAACUGAGGGGGGCUGCUCCUAGUACGAGAGGACCGGAGUGGACGCAUCACUGGUGUUCGGGUUGUCAUGCCAAUGGCACUGCCCGGUAGCUAAAUGCGGAAGAGAUAAGUGCUGAAAGCAUCUAAGCACGAAACUUGCCCCGAGAUGAGUUCUCCCUGACCCUUUAAGGGUCCUGAAGGAACGUUGAAGACGACGACGUUGAUAGGCCGGGUGUGUAAGCGCAGCGAUGCGUUGAGCUAACCGGUACUAAUGAACCGUGAGG
rnacentral:rRNA from 2 species